AUAAUUCUAAUGUAUUUUGGGCAGUUUUUUUCCUGCAUCCCAUUAAGAAGGGAGAGAAAAUGUGCCAGAAGUUCUUUCCAGAUACAAGAGUAAUAAUCAUUUCCAGAAUAUUUGGGGCUUUACUGAGAACUGAAUUUGAGGGAAAAAAAGAAAAAAGGCAGAUUUCUCACAUAUGAAAGUUAUUGGCAAAAAGGUCACUGGGUCUAGGUUAUAAAUGUAAGAAUUAAGCCAAUUUAAUUUGAAUUACAAGCAACUUUAAGUUGAAUGGGGAACUUCU